GACGAACGCUGGCGGCGUGCUUAAUACAUGCAAGUCGAACGAGGUCCAUCCGAUCUUCGGAUUGGUGAAGACCUAGUGGCGAACGGGUGCGUAACACGUGAGAAACCUGCCCCGGUCUCUGGAAUAACAGUUGGAAACGACUGCUAAUACCGGAUGCCGUCGGACCAUCGCAUGGUGGACCGACGAAAGGGUUACCGGACCCGGGAGGGUCUCGCGGCCUAUCAGCUUGUUGGUGAGGUAACGGCUCACCAAGGCAUCGACGGGUAGCUGGUCUGAGAGGAUGAUCAGCCACACUGGGACUGAGACACGGCCCAGACUCCUACGGGAGGCAGCAGUAGGGAAUAUUGCACAAUGGGCGAAAGCCUGAUGCAGCAACGCCGCGUGCGGGAAGAAGGCCCUAGGGUUGUAAACCGCUUUCAGCAGGGAAGAAAAUGACGGUACCUGCAGAAGAAGGUGCGGCCAACUACGUG
rnacentral:rRNA from 1 species